GCUUCUCCCGCCGCCCGUGCGACGGCUCCUGGCCGCAUUGACCCGGGUUCGUCAGAACCUCCGGGUCGGUCCAGCCCGGGGCUGGCCAUGGCGGCAACUGUGGCAGAGACGCGCGUGUUCCUGGAGGUGCGGAGACAGCUGCAGAGCGCGCUGCUGGUCCUGGGAGAAGCAAAAGAAGAAGAUAUGCCCAUGGAUAUUUCCAUAAUGCCGUCCUCACUCCAGGUGAAGACUCCUGAAGGCUGCACAGAGAUCCGGCUUCCAGCAGAGGUCAGGCUUGUACCUUCUUCUUGCCGUGGGCUGCAGUUUGUUGCUGGAGAUGGACUGCACCUGCGGCUGCAGGCGCGGGCGGAAUUCUGUCCAAAACUGAUUUCAGUGUUUAAUAAAAGUUCACAAGCCCAAGGAUGUUGCAGCUUUUAUUGCCAAUCCUGCGGUGAAGUCAUCAUAAAGGACAGGAAGCUCCUCAGGGUGCUCCCACUGCCGAGUGAGAACUGGGAAGCUCUAGUUGGAGAAUGGUGUUGUCAUCCCGACCCUUUUGCUAAUAAGCCACUUCAUCCACAAGAGAAUGACUGUUUUGUUGGAGACACUUUCUUCUUGGUGAAUUUAAGAGCUGAUUUGGGGCAUCCAAGACCUGAAUCAUCCCCAGUGGAGAUGCGCCAUCUUUCUUCCAAGAACCAUUUUAAACCGGAACCAAAGGCAAAUACCAAAGUAAUUUGUAAGCGUUGCAAAGUAAUGUUGGGAGAGACCGUGUCAUCAGAAACCACCAAGUUUUAUAUGACAGAGAUAAUUAUUCAGCCAUCUGAUAGAAGUUUUCCGAUCAUACCAAGGUCUCAGUUUGUCCAGAGUGUGAUUGCCCAGUGCCUGGUGGAACUCUCCUCUGCUAGAAGCACAUUUAGAUUCACUAUUCAAGGUCAGGAUGGCAGAGUGUACAUCUUGCUUUGGCUUUUAAACUCAGACAGUUUGGUGAUUGAAUCUUUGAGAAGUUCUAAAUGUAUCAAAAAAUUUCCCUUGUUGGAAGACUCAAUGAAAGCAGAUUCCACUUCUGCCUGGAGUGCUGUCAAGGUCCUCUACCAGCCAUGCAUCAAAAGUAGGAAUGAAAAACUUGCCAGCUCAUGGGAAAGUGACAUCAGCAUUCACUCCCUGACCCUGCCUUCUGCAACCUGCUUGGAGCUGCUGUUGAUAUUAUCAAGGAAUAAUGCCAUGCUGCCUCCGUCCCUUCGCCAUAUGAAUUCCUUUCAGGAUUUUUGGACCCCCAAACCAGCACCUUCAGUUGGCACUGGGCUACAAAUGAAGGCGCUGGAGUAGCAGUUAGAAGACCCGUGUUUGAGCCUUCUUCUAAUUAGCUGUGCCACUUCAGGUGGCCUUUUUGAGGAUGUAACCAUUGGAACGAAGGCAUUCUCUUCCCAAGGUAGACAGCUCUCCAGCACGGAGCACACCUAAGGCCAACAGUCAGCUUGGUGGGCAUCGAUUACAAAGACAAGAACCAGAGCUACAGAAUGAGGGCGUGACAUCGAAGUUUUGAGUUUGCUUGUUUGUGUAUAUUCUCUAAGAGAAGAGUUCACUUUAGAUCUUUGAAAACCCAGCGCUGUGAAGAAAGUCAUAGUAGCAGGUCGUCAGCAGGUUAAGAUAAGUAUAGAAGUUACAUCUCCAUUUCCCACAGAGAGGAAUAUUCAAGUAUGUGCUGUGUCAGCACCACCUGGAAGGAUUAUUAGCUGAAGGAGACCCAUCUGUCCUGUGUGGAAUGCAGUGAGGAACUUCACUGGCGGAACUGAAUGUUAACUGCUGUAAAUCCUAAGAAAUCAACCUUUACAGAGCUUCUCAGGAUCAUUUAAAACAAAUUUUUAAACAGAAAUAUACUAUAUGUUUUUUAUACUUUUUUUUUUUUUUUUUUUU